UUGUGUGUUUAAGACUUUAUUAUUAAAAUUCAGGAGUUUUGAUUAGCAGAGCAUUGUUUGAUUGAAUUGAACAGUUCAAAAAUUGGGAUUCUUUUCGAAUCCCAGUGUCGUCGUCGGCGAGCGUUUGGUCUCAUGUGUAAAGAAAUCGAGAAAUUCGAAGUGUGGCAUCAUGGAAUUUGUCGUUUUGAUUCCCUGGGAAGCGUAGAAAAACCCUAAUUCUGUUCGAGAUAGAGGUGGUUGGUUCCACUGGCGACCUGGUUCAGAGUAGUUUUGAUAAGGGACAAAGAAACCAUUAACCAUGUGAAGAGAAAGAUCGUGGCAUUGGCUAAUUUUGUUGCCGGUUGAUGAUUCGGUCGAUGAAUUGGACAGCUAUAUGUAUGUAUCAAACUGUAGGCCACCAGAUAAUAUAGUGGGCUAUGCAGAAUGUAUGAAUGUGCCAUUAUUGUUCAGAAGAAGAAUCCGUGGACCUCCAAGGCAUCAGAAACUUAGCUACCAAAUGAAUCCAGAUGAUGAAGUGGAAGAUAUGUUUGUGUUGUUAAGUGAAAUUGAAGAGACAGAUACCCUUCCAUCACUGCUGUAUCCUCUAGUGCGAUUGCAUCAGACUAUCAACGGCUGCCCGGUGGAGAGUUUUUUGUUCAAGGUUGGGCCUUGUUUCUUUUGGCAUUUUUGUGGAAACAAGAUCAGACAUUGCUUCUUCAUGAAAUGAUAGCAAAUGGGAUUAAAGGUAUCUUAGUCAAGGUCGCGGCAAUAGGGUUAGAUCCCUCAAAGCAUCUAGGGAAAGACUUAGCCUUCAUGGAACCAUAUAUUUUGAAGUUAAAAGAGUAUGCCACAGUUCUCUUUUAUGGCUUCAUAUAUCUUUUUUUUUUUUUCUCAAAAAGAAAAAAUGUAUGGCUUCAUAUAUCUAUUUGUGUUACAUUGGUUCUAAAGCUUCUGAAUGCAUCUCCACUUAGAAAUAUGGGAGUAAUGUUUGGGUUUAACUGGCAGAGUGUAUUGUACAUUCAUCUUUAUAUCUCUAACUUGAGUGGAUUUGCUGUGGCGAAUGAGACAUGUGAAAUUUCUCACACAAGAUAAGUGCCCUUUCGGUGUUCCUUCACGUAGUACAAUAGAACUUCCUUUGGUAAAAGCGGGCCUUGGAAAAGCUUAUGUUGAGGUUUUAGUUGCGAGUGACGAAAGCAACAGAGUUCUCCAUGUCCAAAGUAUAUCUUGCUGGACACCUAGCUGCAUUGGAACUUACAGUCAGGCCACUUUGCACAAGAGUGUUGUUCAUAUGUCUGGACAACUAGGACUUGACCCUCCCAUGAUGAAUCUUCGAAACGAAGGCGCAAUUGCUGAGCUUAAUCAAGCAUUGACUAACAGCGAGGCAAUAGCAGAGUCUUUUAACCGCUCAAUCUCUUCAUCAGUUAUACUCUUUGUGGUUUUCUGUUCAUCACGCACGAAACAAUCAGAGAGGAACCAACUUCUUAUAUAUGUAUCUGACAGAUUGAAUGAGUCACAAUACUCGAUACAUUCUUGGUUGUUUAUCCUUUGGGUGAGAAGAGAAUGUGACAGACUAAAAUUUUGGA